rnacentral:rRNA from 1 species
CCUCCUUUCUUCCGCCGUGGGGAAUAUUGCACAAUGGGGGAAACCCUGAUGCAGCGACGCCGCGUGAGUGAAGAAGUAUUUCGGUAUGUAAAGCUCUAUCAGCAGGGAAGAAAAUGACGGUACCUGACUAAGAAGCCCCGGCUAACUACGUGCCAGCAGCCGCGGUAAUACGUAGGGGGCAAGCGUUAUCCGGAUUUACUGGGUGUAAAGGGAGCGUAGACGGCAGCGCAAGUCUGGAGUGAAAUCCCAUGGCUUAACCAUGGAACUGCUUUGGAAACUGUGCAGCUGGAGUGCAGGAGAGGUAAGCGGAAUUCCUGGUGUAGCGGUGAAAUGCGUAGAGAUUAGGAGGAACACCAGUGGCGAAGGCGGCUUACUGGACUGUAACUGACGUUGAGGCUCGAAAGCGUGGGGAGCAAACAGGAUUAGAUACCCGUGUAGUC